rnacentral:rRNA from 1 species
UACAGAGGGGGCAAGCGUUGUUCGGAAUUACUGGGCGUAAAGGGCGCGUAGGCGGCCUGCUAAGUCGAACGUGAAAUCCCCGGGCUCAACCCGGGAACUGCGUCCGAGACUGGCAGGCUCGAAUCCGGGAGAGGGAUGUGGAAUUCCAGGUGUAGCGGUGAAAUGCGUAGAUAUCUGGAGGAACAUCGGUGGCGAAGGCGGCAUCCUGGACCGGUAUUGACGCUGAGGCGCGAAAGCCAGGGGAGCAAAGCGGG